rnacentral:misc_RNA from 1 species
UUAUGAGCGGCAUGUCUAGCCUGCGUUAUUGCAUUUUUAGAAGCUGUGAAAUAAAUCCUUUCUUUGUGUUUUUGGUAACGGUAUUUGAAGAAUUAGUUUCUAUAACCAAGUGCAGUGAAAUUAUUUGCUAAAAAUCAUUAUUUUCUGAUGAAGUGCAUAAAAGCAUAGAGUUCUUCGUGUGGCAAAUAAUACAAGAUGACUACGGAGAAGGAUAAACAUGUCUCUGUGACGCACUUCAUUAAUCCGCAACUAUUUUGGUUUCACGAAAUUUGUGUGCCAAAUCCGGCUUAUCACGAAAUUAAAGAGCUGGAAGAGCAGCUUGAACAAUAUUAUAAAACACAUCAACCAUGGACGCAAGCGAUACGUAAGCCGACAGUUGAUAUGCUGGUGGCUGUAAAAUUCCUAUCCUGGCACAAAAUGAUAAGAGCACGUGUUGAACAUAUUGCAAAUUUCAGUAAAAAUACGCAAGGUGGUGAAUAUAUUAUGUGGGCCAUUGAUUAUGGCUUUCCAUUUCAAACAAAAUCUGAACAAAUAUUUCGUUUGCCUGAUAAGUUAUCACGUCCAGUGGCGCAUAUACAACGUGGUGGUUUGGCAUACCUAACACCAGCCGAAACGGACUUUGAUUUUCGUAUGAGUUGUGCCGUGACAAAAGCCAAAGAGAAUUGGAGUCAACGUGCAUGUGAAUUGGUGGAUAAGUUAUUGAAUGAAUCAGAAUCGGUUGUAUUUAUUGAGAAAUUCCAGCACGACGCACAUUUUUGGGGCGAUCUAAUAGUGACCACGCAUUUGGGCUAUAAAUGUAAUGUGCGUGAUUAUUUAAUUGGCAUAAGUCUGGCUUUAGAUGCCGGUCCGAGUUUUCGUGAAACAUGUGCAAACUUGAAAGCCACCAAAAUUUUGCCAUGGAUGACAAAUAGUGGUAACAGUAAAUUUAGUGCAAAUAAAGGAUUUUUGUGCGAAGGUAUCGGACGCGAUGAUAAAAAGCUGCAACAAUCAAUUAACACCGAUUUGGAUGAUUAUGCAAAGAAAAAAGUAGAAGAUUGGUGUGCUAGAAAUGAGAUAGCUAAUCUUCAAGAAACCGCAGAUUUCGAAGAAGACUUAUUGCUGGACAGCGUCAAAUUCGACGAUUCAGUAUCGAACAAAGGUUUUGAAGUACGCAAGCUAAACAGUGUUGAGACUGUGGAAAUCACUAAAGAAAACAAAAAUGCUGUUGAAUGCGAAAAACUACUGAGCGACGACGAAUCCGUCAAUUCUAUAAAUAAUUGUGAAAUAAAUGAACAGAAACUUGGCAUGGCUGGCGCAUUGACCAAAUCACUAGAGCUGAAAUAUAGUAAAAAGCAAUUGCCGCCAGAACCAAAAAGUAUUGAUUUUGAUGUUUCCCUUGAUUCCGAAAAGGAAUCUUUGAAAGAAAAUGUGCCGCAUGGCAAGGAAAAGCUGCUAAAUGGUGUGGAAUCGUUAGCAUCCACGACAAGCGCAGUUUCGAGAAAACAAAAGUUGCUGGAUAAACGCAAACAGAUAAGCAACAAACAAACUGAUGAAUCUAUUAUAACCGACAAGCUGCAAGAGUUAUCGCUAAAACCUGAAACUACCAAGAAGAAUAACAACCUUAUAGAGUUAACAUCCAACGCAAGCACUGCGGUGGAGUCUGAUAUUGACAAGCCCGUGCGCAAAACUAUUACUGAGAGUAGCGAAACCAGCGUGGUUUCAACAAAUGUAACCAGUACUCGCGCAAAACGCCAUCUACUCAAUCGCCAACGUGCAUCGAUCAAGCAGGAAGAAACCACCACUGACAGCACAUCUACCAAUGAACUUACACCACAAGCAACAACUGUCUCCUCCAAACGUAUGGAAUACUUACGAAAGCAACGUUUAGAGAAGCUUAAAACGGAAAAGCAUGAAGAAGCCAAACAAGAGUGUGCUACAGAAGAACCCAUUGCCAAAACUCAAGACCAAGCACAAUCGAGUGAGGUGGUUGAAAAGAGCACAGCGCCAACUGCUCCCGCUAAGUCCAGUGCGCAUUUUAGUCGCUUGUUAAACUUGCGCAAAAAGGUUAAGGAUGUAAAGCCAGACGCAUAUUUCGAAUUAACCCAACCACGUUUACGUCCGGCUACUGAGACCUUAAAAGAGAGCACCACCUUCCAUGGUUUACGCAUGAUACCGGCCGGUUUUGAUAUAACCAAUUUAAAUCAUUAUAAAGACGAGAAAAAUCAUUGGCAUCGCAAGGCAUCUACCCGCUUUGAUCAUGUGCCACACGACCUAGAUGUGGUAGCAAUGGAAAAGAAAGAGACGCAACAACACAAGAAAGUUGAUUGUGAUGGAUCCAAAGCAGUUGAAAAUGCAGCAAGCACAGCAAAGCAUGCUAAUAUUUUAGAUACCACAGUGCCAGAGUUAAGCGAAGACCCCAUAGAUUUUAGCAUAAUUUCGGAGGCCAAAAGCAAGGAGUCUACUACGCCAGAGGAGCUGUCACCCUACAGCAGUAGCAACUCUCCUGCGCCAAAAAAAUAUGGACGCUAUCGCUCGUUGAAAUCGCCCGCUACGCAAAUGAAUAAAAUCGACGAAAUACUACGUUCCGCCUAUAAUGAAAAAGCCGGCGGUAAUAUUGACAUACUAGACUUGGACAAUCUAAAUUCUAGCGCCUGCAAGGAUGACUCGGACAACACGGAUCUAUAUUCGGCCGAUGAUGGUACAAACGGCACCACUACAACCGACAACGAAGAUAUUGAAUUGGAACAUAACUCUACUUCCAAUAAACGUUCACUUAUUCGAAAUCGCCUGCUAAAUAAGUUAGCAGCACAACAGGAACAUUUGAAAAAGAUCGAAGACAAAUUGACCAACGAAUUGAAUACACCAAAACCCGAAACAUUUCGCAUACACUUGCCAGAAGUGAAGGAGCUGCGCGUUGUAGAGGGUGAACACAAGUUGAAAACCAAAUUUAUUGACCACUUGGUGUUAGCGCAUUCGAAUGUACCGCUAACGGCGCUCACCAGCAUAACGGAGGCAUUCUUUUUGAAGGAAAUACACGACGAAAUGGAAAAUAUGCGCGUCACAAAAUUAUAUCGUAUACAGGCUUACGCCUGGCCACACUUGCUACGUGGUAAUUCAAUGUUCGUCGUAAAUCCACACAAAUCGGGCAAAACAUGGAGUUAUUUGCCGGCCAUUUGUAGUCUCGUUGCUUAUCGCAUACAAAGUUGUCGCAUUGCCGAGACUUUUGGACCGGUCGCCAUCAUACUGUUACCGACCUCCGCACAUGUCGAAGUUGUGCAUAAUUAUUGCAAGCGUUUACUGUUAGGCGUGCGUCCGGCAGUGACCACGGUUGCUUCGUAUGGUGUACGGAAUGCGAAUGAUGCUAAAAUACAAUUGCUCAAUAGUUGUGGCAUAUUGGUGGCAACGCCGGCUAGUUUGCUGCGUUUGUUGCGUGAUAAUGAGAAGGAACCGCUGAUUGAUAUGGAGCGGUUGAAGCAUUUGGUUAUCGAUGAUUUAGAUUUAAUGCUCUCACGUUCGCAGAACGAUAUCGAAUUAGUAUUGAAGACCUUAUUUAAACUAUCCAAACGCAGUAAGGACACUACACUGCCUUGGCAACUGGUGGUUACAUCACGCGAUUGGGAUUCCCUGCUUGUGGCGCUUAUGCGUAAGUCAAAUCAACCACUACUUUUGAUUGGUGAUUUUCUUGAAGCCGCCGUUUAUGGUAGAGUCAUGAUAUCGAUCAAGCUCUGCCCGAGCGAACGCAAGAUAACCACAAUUCUGGAAUUCAUCGAACAGUAUUCGCUCGAAAACGAACGCAUACUGGUGCUGUGCAACAGCGAUGACGAUGUCUAUGAAGUCGUGGACGGGCUAACCACGUCGGCGCAUGUCUGCAUUGCCUACGACAAUCACGCGUCAGCAGAUGUGCGCACAAUAAUCGAGGAGUGGCGCAAGAAGAAGGUUAUGUCAUCACGUAUACUAGUGUGCGCCGACUCCUCAUUUCCGGAGCUGCAAAUACAGAAUGUCUCACAUGUCAUACACUAUUCAAUGCCCACAUCUUGGACUAAAUUCACAGCGCGUUUUUCCGCUUUAGCUCAGACCUAUGACAACUAUGUGAGCACGAAUUUCGAAACUCCCACUGGCUUGGACCGCCCCACAGCGCGCUCACUAAUACUGCUCGAUGAGGAGAAUAGCAUACAAUUGCCACGUUUAAUGGAUUUUAUGAAGAAGCACGAUCAAUUGAAAUUUAUACACGCCGACAUUUUGGCCGUAUCCAAGCGCGUUUUGGUCGAACGCGAGGAGGCGCGCAUACUACAAGGCACACGCAUGUGUCCUUUUGUCUUGGAGUUCGGGGAAUGUGAUGAACCGCGUUGUGAAUUUCGACAUAACCUCACACGUUUCGAUGCGGUUGCCAAAAAGGAUAAUAUACCGACCAAUGGCGAUUUGCGUAUACUCAUACUGAAGGUCUUUUCACCCACCCACUACGCUGCACGUCUCCUACAACAACGUACACCCAACUCUAAUAAAUGGCAGGAUAUUCGACGCUCCCCGGAAGUCUGCAAUUUCAGCAUGCAAUUGAAUUUGCAUUAUAUGAAGCAGGAAAAUUGGAAUCUGCUAUGGCCGCUACACAUCGGUGAUUUGUGCAUCUACAAAUACGCCGAUACAUAUCAACGCGCGCGUAUACUUGAGUUGCCUGAUGUACCAAACACUGCUAUUAUUAAGGUGAUAAAGCUUACGCUCAAGCUGAUCGAUGAGGGCAGCAUUAUAUCGAGCGUUAAAUCGGAUGAACUCUACGUAUGUGCUGACAAAUUCAAAGAUUUUCCCGCACAAGCCAUAAAUAUACGCCUAACGGGAGUCGUGCCAUUCGAUAACGAACGCACUUGGGACACUAAAGCCACUAAAACGGUGCAGAAAUGGAUUAUGACCGAUAUAAAGCAGAAUGAAUGUGUGCAUGUGAGCAUUAACUUCACGUUAAUCGAUACCAUUUGGGUGAACAAUGUGAUUGUGAUGGAGCAACUCGAACAAGUGGGCCAAUAUGUGUACCGUGUGAACUUGAAACGCUCAUUGAUGGAGAAAAAUAUAGCCGAUGUGGGUGAUAGUAAGAAACAGGGUAUACGCGAAAUAGCCGAGGAGUUGGGAUUGCUUGCGUAUGGCGACGAAUCAGACAUGCUCAGUGACUCUGAGGGUGAAUUUAAAAGCUUCAGUGAGAACGACACAAGUAAUCUUAUGAAAUUCUCCUCGAACGAUAACACCGCCGAAAGUGAGAAGUUGCAGCAGGUGGAGAGGCAUGCAACAGAAACUCAAGAAGUGGCGGAAUCAAAUUCGCUAAUAAAAAUCGAUGACGACAAUGAUAAUGUGGAAGAUUGGGAUGCGCAGCUGAAUGAUAAUGCUAAUAACGCUAAAGAGGUUAGUGUGCAACCAUUGAAAUUUAGCAAACGUGUGCUGCGGCUUCGGCAACGUAGGAGUUUACUCAAUCACAUGUGAUGUACUUAACAUUUUAUUUGCUAAGAAUAAUACAACACAAUAACAGAGUGACACAGUCGAAAUAACGGAUUUAUCUACCACUACAAGCAACAAUUAAGAUCGAAGCAAACGUAGACCCCACAAUAACAACACAGGAGACAAAAGCGGACGACAAAAUUAUUUCAACGGACACACAAACCGCUACAACUGGCAAGGAAGCGUGGCUG